rnacentral:tRNA from 1 species
GGAGAGGUGCAGGAGUGGCUUAACUGGCACGCCUGGAAAGCGUGUGUACUGCGAAACGGUACCGAGGGUUCGAAUCCCUCUCUCUCCGCCA